rnacentral:rRNA from 1 species
UACAGAGGUCCCAAGCGUUGUUCGGAUUCACUGGGCGUAAAGGGUGCGUAGGCGGUCGGGUAAGUCUGACGUGAAAUCUCCAAGCUCAACUUGGAAAUGGCGUCGGAUACUAUUCGGCUCGAGGAAUGGAGGGGAGACUGGAAUUCUCGGUGUAGCAGUGAAAUGCGUAGAUAUCGAGAGGAACACCAGUGGCGAAGGCGAGUCUCUGGACAUUUCCUGACGCUGAGGAGCGAAAGUGUGGGGAGCGAACAGG